UAUAUAAGGACCGUGUUCUAACUUGACCACUUAUCGAAAAACUCUCAAAGCUGCAUUUCUCGUUUAUAAUUUUUUAACAAAUUUACAUCAACUUGCUACUUGUUCCUCGUUGGAUAUUUCAAGGGAAAAUCAAAAGAUGUCGAUAAGAUUUUUACUGACUCUGUUUGCUGUUUGUCUGUUGGCUGUCAGCAGUUUUGCCUAUGAUUCAGCAAACAAUUGCGCCGAAGCAGGUGAAAAUUGUACUCUUACUGUGGGUGCAACAGAGUGUUGUGAAGGUCUCCGAUGUGAGUUACUCUUAGAUGAAGAUAUCAGAGUUACUGGCGAAUGUGUAGACGCUUCGGCACCUGAGAACCGAUAAAACGAAUUCGUAAAAAUUCGCUGUUUGCAGUAAAAAGUACAUCACUAUUUCCAAUAACUGACAUAUUUCUUACUACAUAUUAAUUAAUAUUCAUUAGUUAUAGUGAACUUUUAUUAAUUCAUUUUGAAAAUUUAUAUACAAUUUUUUAACAUGUUGAGUUUCACAUUUCAAAGAUGUUUCAAUAAAAUGUGAUAACUUAAAAUUAUCAUCAAUAAAUAUUAAAAUAUGAAUA